AACGAACGCUGGCGGCAUGCCUAACACAUGCAAGUCGAACGAGACCUUCGGGUCUAGUGGCGCACGGGUGCAUAACGCGUGGGAAUCUGCCCUUCGGUUGGGAAUAACUGAGAGAAAUUUCAGCUAAUACCUUAUAAUGUCUUCGGACCAAAGAUUUAUCGCCGAGGGAUGAGCCCGCGUAGGAUUAGGUAGUUGGUGGGGUAAUGGCCUACCAAGCCGACGAUCCUUAGCUGGUCUGAGAGGAUGAUCAGCCACACUGGGACUGAGACACGGCCCAGACUCCUACGGGAGGCAGCAGUGGGGAAUAUUGGACAAUGGGCGAAAGCCUGAUCCAGCAAUGCCGCGUGAGUGAUGAAGGCCUUAGGGUUGUAAAGCUCUUUUACCCGGGAUGAUAAUGACAGUACCGGGAGAAUAAGCUCCGGCUAACUCCGUG
rnacentral:rRNA from 1 species